ensembl:lncRNA
AUGCUCCAAAUCCUGCCCUGGAGACACCGCAGAGUCCUGAGUCAUCAAAGCAGAUACAGAGACACAGCGAAGGAGCCAGUCGCUUGUCACCUUCCACGCACGGUGACCAUCUUGCCAGUAAAGGUGACUGUAAGCCAGCAUUACUUCACCCAAGUAACAAGGAACAGUGGAGAAGACCAAGAGCAAAAUGCAGUUCGAACUCAAAAGUUUACUUUCGGUUAUACGCCCAUGCAGAAGACUAACUUGGGGAGAAUGUGUGUGAAAAGUUUCCUUUGGAAGAAAUUGCAGAGGGAGCGUGUGCCCAGUCCUUCCCUGCUUGGGAGAACGUAGACAACUGAAAUCUUGUGUCAUGAGGACAUACCUGCACUUGGCCCCGUGCUGUGCUGGAGUGGAUCGUGCACACCUCCUACCAACUCCAUUUUCAGGGUGCCCUCACCUUCGUAGCUUGAAUUAGGCCGUGGUGGAUAUACCUGCAACACAAAAAUCAGCAAAUCCUACAACUCAGGGUUUGCUUUUUCUGGAGAAUGGGUUUUUAAGUAUUUACCAGCACUUCACUGACUUGCCCCUGAAGUUAACUGUGCUUGGUCAGAUGGGAGUCUGCCCAGAAUCUGGCAGGUCUGGUUCCAUUUUUAGGAGGUGGGCAAGGUUGUAGGGGAGAAGCCAACCAGCCACACAUGGCUGCCCAUGGAGGACACUCACCAGACAGAAAGGGGAAGAAAGGCCAGGAAAAGCUGGAUACGAAGCUAUGUAAAAGACAAGAGUGAGAGAACGCAAAAGCCGGGGGCAAGGACCAGAACCGGAACAAAAAAAGAAAGAAAUACAGAGAGGGGGAAACAGACUGAGUGGUCUAUGAAGUCACUACAGAAAUUUUACAUAAGGUCCCAAUCGCUUGAAUCAUCACUCCACAGUGCAGGUUCAUUAAAAAUGUGAUGAAGCUAAUGUUGGCAUGUGAUUUAUUUGAUUAAAGUUACUUUACAUUAAUGGCAUCUGCCACCUCUUCCACAUGCACUGACUUAAAGCAAACAUGAUUCAUUUAACUGCAAAAGUAUAAAACAGAGAGAGUUACAAGUGUCCCCCACAGGCUCCUGAGGAGGACCUUCCAUCUGAUGGAAAUUCUGUCCUUCAGGCAUAACCCCCCCCCAAGCACCUGCCACAGACCUGAGCCGUAGACCCCAAACCUGCAGUUAUGAGCUUCUGGGCUGCUGAACAUCACUGAAAAGACUCUGGGAUUCCUUCCUGCCCUGAAGUUCACCCUUCUAACAGCUUUGAGGAUCAGGAAUUGGGAUGUGUCAUAGGCUAAAUAAUGCACCCCAGAGAUAUUCAUGUCCUAAUUCCUGUAAAUGUUGUAUGGCAAAAGGUACUUUGCAGAUGUGAUUAAUUUAAGGACUUUCAGAUGGGGAAAUAAUCCUUCAUUAAUAAUAACAACCCUCCUUCUAAGAGGGAUACAGGAGGAGCUGGUUAAAGAAGGCUGUUUAGGGAAAUAUGCCAUUGGUAGAGUUAUGCAUGUUGAAGAAAAAGAAAAGGGCCACAAGGCAAGGAAUAAAGGAAGUCACUAGAGACUAAAUAAAGCA